GAAGCUACUAAACACUAAACUCAAUCGAAAAAAAAAACUAUAUGACGUGGCGUUGUCAUGUCAUUGUUUCAAAUUGGUCCGUUGUUGUUUUAAAACAGUUUUAAUAAAAUAUCAGAUUUCUACGACGAUUUUGGAUAUAAUAACGGAUACUGAUAUAUGAAUACGAUACCAGGCUUUCAUACGGACACGUCGGGCCGAGGGAUAAACACUAACGAAUGUAGGUAAUGCAAUGAAAUAUUUGUCCGCUAUCUUCGACGAAUUAUUUUUGCAGUAGGUAACGGACGAGACAAUAUUUGGUAUACUUCGGAGGAGUAUAUAUGAGUACCUCAUCGAUCCAUACACGGUUUUGUCUAUUUUAAAAACGAUUAGUAGAUAGUAACUUAAUUAUGUAAAUACAUUUUUGUUUUGAAUGUCAAUCAAUACGUCGUAUUUAAUUGACAAUGUCAAAUCCAAUAUUAUGACAGCUAUUUUUUUUCUUGUGGUGAAUGGCAAUGUCAUUUCACC